GGACAAAGCAGUGAAGUCACUACAGUAACGACAUCAUAGCGAGUUAUGACAUCCCAGGAGAGAUGCCCCUGGUCUGGGAGGGAGGAUGCUAGUCUGCUACCAGGUUCAUCCCUCAGCUGCAAGGUGGCCUUUAAA
rnacentral:lncRNA from 1 species